AGACACAUGGCUCAAUGGUAGAGUGCUUGCCUAGCUAGGGCAAAGUUCUGAGUUCAAACCCCAGUGUGUGUG
rnacentral:tRNA from 1 species